CUAACUUCGUGCCAGCAGCCGCGGUAAUACGAAGGGUGCAAGCGUUACUCGGAAUUACUGGGCGUAAAGCGUGCGUAGGUGGUCGUUUAAGUCCGUUGUGAAAGCCCUGGGCUCAACCUGGGAACUGCAGUGGAUACUGGGCGACUAGAGUGUGGUAGAGGGUAGCGGAAUUCCUGGUGUAGCAGUGAAAUGCGUAGAGAUCAGGAGGAACAUCCAUGGCGAAGGCAGCUACCUGGACCAACACUGACACUGAGGCACGAAAGCGUGGGGAGCAAACAGGAUUAGAUACCCUGGUAGUCCACGCCCUAAACGAUGCGAACUGGAUGUUGGGUGCAAUUUGGCACGCAGUAUCGAAGCUAACGCGUUAAGUUCGCCGCCUGG
rnacentral:rRNA from 1 species